rnacentral:rRNA from 1 species
AGCUCCAAUAGUGUAUAUUAGAGUUGUCGUAGAUAAACAGCUCGUAGUUUGAUGUCUGGCGGGAGCAAUCAGUAUGGCACUUUGUGUCGUAGCUUGCAUUGUCUCUGACCAUCCUUGGAAAUAAUCAGUCUGGCAUUAAGUUGUCAGGCUGAAGAUUUCCAUCUUUUACUGUGACAAAUUAGAGUGUUCAAAGCAGGCUUAAGCCAUUCAAUAUAUUAGCAUGGAAUAAUGAUAUAAGACUUUGGUGCUAUUUUGUUGGUUUACGUGCCAUAGUAAUGAUUACCAGGGACACUUGGGGGUAUUUAUAUUCCAAUGUCAGAGGUGACAUUCUUGGAUCUUUUGAAGACAAACUACUGCAAAAGUAUUUACUAAGGAUGUUUUCA